GCAGAGGUGGCUCAGUGGUAGAAUUCUUGCCUUCCAUGCACGAGACCUGGGUUCCAUUCCCCACCAAUGCA
rnacentral:tRNA from 1 species